rnacentral:rRNA from 1 species
UACGUAGGGUGCGAGCGUUGUCCGGAAUUAUUGGGCGUAAAGGGCUCGUAGGCGGUUUGACGCGUCGGGAGUGAAAACACACAGCUUAACUGUGUGCUUGCUUCCGAUACGGGCAGACUAGAGGUAUGCAGGGGAGAACGGAAUUCCUGGUGUAGCGGUGAAAUGCGCAGAUAUCAGGAGGAACACCGAUGGCGAAGGCAGGUCUCUGGGCAUUAACUGACGCUGAGGAGCGAAAGCAUGGGGAGCGAACAGG